rnacentral:ncRNA from 3 species
UACGAAGGGGGCUAGCGUUGCUCGGAAUUACUGGGCGUAAAGGGAGCGUAGGCGGACAUUUAAGUCAGGGGUGAAAUCCCAGAGCUCAACUCUGGAACUGCCUUUGAUACUGGGUGUCUUGAGUGUGAUAGAGGUAUGUGGAACUCCGAGUGUAGAGGUGAAAUUCGUAGAUAUUCGGAAGAACACCAGUGGCGAAGGCGACAUACUGGAUCAUUACUGACGCUGAGGCUCGAAAGCGUGGGGAGCAAACAGG